rnacentral:rRNA from 1 species
GAUGAACGCUAGCUACAGGCUUAACACAUGCAAGUCGAGGGGUAACGAGAGGAAAGCUUGCUUUCCUUGUCGACGACCGGCGCACGGGUGAGUAACGCGUAUCCAACCUGCCCCCAACUAAGGAAUAACCUUGCGAAAGUAAGACUAAUACCUUAUAAUUUCCUCAGAUGACAUCUGACGAGGAAUAAAGAUUUAUCGGUUGUGGAUGGGGAUGCGUCUGAUUAGCUUGUUGGCGGGGUAACGGCCCACCAAGGCAACGAUCAGUAGGGGUUCGGAGAGGAAGGUCCCCCACAUUUGAACUGAGACACGGUCCAAACUCCUACGGGAGGCAGCAGUGAGGAAUAUUGGUCAAUGGGCGGAAGCCUGAACCAGCCAAGUAGCGUGCAGGAUGACGGCCCUAUGGGUUGUAAACUGCUUUUAUACAGGAAUAAAGUUAGCCACGUGUGGUUAUUUGUAGGUACUGUAUGAAUAAGGACCGGCUAAUUCCGUGCCAGCCGCCGCAGUAAAAC